rnacentral:rRNA from 1 species
AGUGAACGCUGGCGGUAGGCCUAACACAUGCAAGUCGAACGGCAGCACAGUAAGAGCUUGCUCUUACGGGUGGCGAGUGGCGGACGGGUGAGGAAUACAUCGGAAUCUACUUUUUCGUGGGGGAUAACGUAGGGAAACUUACGCUAAUACCGCAUACGACCUACGGGUGAAAGCAGGGGAUCUUCGUACCUUGCGCGAUUGAAUGAGCCGAUGUCGGAUUAGCUAGUUGGCGGGGUAAAGGCCCACCAAGGCGACGAUCCGUAGCUGGUCUGAGAGGAUGAUCAGCCACACUGGAACUGAGACACGGUCCAGACUCCUACGGGAGGCAGCAGUGGGGAAUAUUGGACAAAGGGCGCAAGCCUGAUCCAGCCAUACCGCGUGGGUGAAGAAGGCCUUCGGGUUGUAAAGCCCUUUUGUUGGGAAAGAAAAGCAGCAGGUUAAUACCCCGAUGUUCUGACGGUACCCAAAGAAUAAGCACCGGCUAACUUCGUG